rnacentral:misc_RNA from 1 species
AAAAUGGAAGUAACUUUUUUUACCUAACGAAUACCAAGAUAUUCUGCUUCUAUUUUUACCUACAUUCCUCCAUUUUACUCGGUCAGAUUGCAUUCCUUCGCUCUUUCUAACCACGGCUUCUCUUUGUACACGGAAAAGUAUCUCUCCUAUUCGUCAAAGUUGUUUCUUUUCGAAUCGUAUGAAACGCAAACUUGGAGCUUUUUAAAAGUCCAUGGACCACUAUUUCAAUCAGAUAUCGCGAUCGUAUCUUUGUCAAGAAUUUCGUCUUCUCGCCUCUCUAACUGUUUCGUUUCGUUACUGCGACGGCGGCGACCGGUGGUGCAACCCUUUGUUCCACCGAGGUGCGUGACAGGUGCGAGCACAUGACGUAACGAGGUACCGUUAUAGCUACGAUGCACGGUAGUGGCACACGCACCGAACGAAACCCCGUACGAAUGCCAGACGACGCGGUUGCCCAACGCGCACCAUGGUAGGACGGUGUUGCGCGAAAUUCUGUCGCCCGUUGUGAAAGUGACAUGGAGGAAAGGAUGCGAAG